ACACACUCGAGCUCACUCUCUCGUCCCCCUCUCACCCACCCCUUCUCGCUCCCCUCCGGAUCCCCGCCGUCGCCGGCCUCUCCUCGACUCCCUUUCUCCCCACCACCACGCACCCCGUUUCCUCCCACCGCGCACCCCGUACCGUAGGUCAAAAGCUUGAUUUUUUAGGCGCCUGCGACGAGCUUCUGGGCGGCGGUGGAUCGGCGUGCGUCCACGCCGGCUUCGCAGCGGCGCUUGAUGUGGAGCGGCGCUGGAGAAGCGGAGCGGGGCUUUCUUCCUCACCUCACAGCGCCGUCCUCCUCCACGACCACGCAGCCGCAGCGGCGGAGGAGCCGAAUCCCUAGCCAGCGAGCUCAGGGAGCCAUGGGUCCAUGGGUACGAAUCCAUCCUCUUCUCUCUCUCUGACCCACCCCCGUCUCUUCUCCCUCCCUCUCUGACCCCCGUCUCCAUGACCAGGGCGACGCCAUGGAAGGGCCACCAACUAUAGCAGCGAGGAGAGGAGAAAGGGAGUAGCCUGACGGUCGUCUUCCACCUCCGCCUACGCCCUCGCCCUCCACCUCCACCUACGCCCCCGCCGGAAAUAGUACAAUGGCCAAGGAAAUAGGCAGGAGGCACCGCUUCCCGGAUGGACAUGGACAUGCUUCUCCAACUCUGCUUCUUCCUGGGUCGCCAUGGAAGGUACUCCAUGUUAUGCUCUGCUAUGCUCCAUGUUAUGCUUGCUGAAACUUACUGAUGCAUAAUUAAGUCAAGAUAAAACUGUAGAAAUCUCAAACUUUAGCAUGGACUGAAUAAUGUUUGUGCAUAAUUCAGUCAAAUUCAGUUAAGGAUUUUGUUACGAUUGUUACUGGAUCAUCCAUGGACUGAAUAAUUCAGUCAAAUUCAGCUAAGAUCAUUCAUGGAAUUGUUCUUGCAAUCAAUCACGAGCUUCAUUCAUUCGUUCAUUCAGAGGGAUAAUUGUUUACAACCUGUGCAAAUUGUCCAUUUUUUGAUUUGUUAGCAUCACUCAGUCAUCCACCAUUACACUUUCCUUGUCCUGCCUUUUUGUUGUGAAUUGUGGAAGCUGUGCUUGCUUUAAAUUGCAGUAGGAAGAACUUGCUUUAACAGAAUUUGCUUGCAGCAGCAGUAGCUUGCAAUUUUGCUUGCUUGCACUGCUUGAGUAGUCCCCCCUACAGACUCUGUAGCAAGUGCAGUAGUGUCCUCUCUCCCUCUCUUCUUUUUCAGUACAGUAGGAGCAUUCUCUUAUCUGCUUUAACUGUAACUUUGACUGAAACAAUUUUCUAUUAAUUAAAAUAAAUUCAAACCUUUUCCUUUAAUUAACUUAAACCUUUUAAUUUACUCCUCCAGUAAUAAUUAACUGAAACCUUUUGUGUUAACUCAAAUUAACUAAAACAUUUUUUGUUAAUAAAAAUAAACUGAAGCCUUUUCCUUUAAUUAACUUAAAUCUUUUCAGUUAAGGAGUACUCCUCCAGUAGUAUUGGUCAUUCAGGAGUAGUUAUAUCUGUCAUUCAGGAGUACUGUUAAUUCGGGAGGAGUAAAAUUAACUUGUGCUUGCAGUAUAAGGCUAGCUAGAUUAACCUGGGCAUCUUGCUCUUGUCUAAUAGUGCAGAUUAGAUAGUGACAAGAAAAAGCUAACAAAGUAUGAUGUUCUACUGUAGGUAGUGACAAGGCUAUUAUUACUGCCAAAAAAAACAGAGAUAAUGUCUUUUAACCUGGGCAUAUUGCUGUUGUCUUUUAACCUGGGCAUGUUGCGCCAAAAAAAACAGAGAUAUUGUCUUUUAACCUGGGCAUCUUGCUCUUGUCUAAUAGUGCAGAUUAGAGAUCUGUUCAAUAAAUAUUAUCUUUACCAUACCAUUUUCUCUUCUAUACAGAAAGCAGUAAGAAUCUAAGAAAGCCGAAGCCUUCCAGCACACUGCAGCAAUAAGAAGAGCGCAAGUCGAACAGGGACACAGCUCACACACUACGGUGGACAGAAAGGUAUUUAACUGUUGGUACAAAGCUGGUUGGAGAUACCUCUGUCCUGUGAUGCUUUUUCAAUGUAGUUGGAGUUCAAGUUAAAGAUGCGAUCUGAGUAGUACUGUAAUAUGCAGGUAACUACAUUGCUGAAACAAUUGAUGAUGGCAAACCUAGGGCAUGAUGGGCACCGUUGAACAUAACAAAGGUGGAUCUCCGUCCUUUGCAGCAACAGCCGUCGCCUCGCAACAGCCGUCGAGCGAAGGUUGUGGUUCGGACGCCGAGGUUGCGGUCUAGUUGUGCUGAUUGCACAGCUGGGUCGAUGGAGCUCCUACGCGAGGAAGAACUGGCGUUUCUGUCCCUGGUGGCGACGUGCGUUGGCGGGUCGAUGGAGCUCGUUCGAUGGUUUGAUUUUUGGUAGAUUUUUUUUUUUGGUAGAUGGACCUCGUUCGUGGGUUGCUGAACUGUUUUGUUUGUUGGCUGGGCGUGUGAUCGUGGGGUUUGGCUCGUUUGACUGGUGGUCCAUGGGCCGAAUAUCGGAUGAGUUGCCCUUGUUUUUUUUGGGCUUGCGGGAUGGAUUUUGUGCGGGCGUGUGGGACACCGCGCGAUGGCUGUCGUACGAGGCGGGGGGAUCGAACGAGGUGGUUGAACCAUCACGACGUCCGAUCCCCCUUUAAUAGUAGAGAUUCGCAAUAUCCAGAUUGCAUAUCAUAGUUAUU
rnacentral:lncRNA from 1 species